GGGUACCGGUACAGAGUCGAUGUGGAGGCUAUAUACAGGGGGUACCGGUACAGAGUCAAUGUGGAGGCUAUAUACAGGGGGUACCGGUACAGAGUCAAUGUGGAGGCUAUAUACAGGGGGUACCGGUACAGAGUCAAUGUGGAGGCUAUAUACAGGGGGUACCGGUACAGAGUCAAUGUGGAGGCUAUAUACAGGGGGUACCGGUACAGAGUCAAUGUGGAGGCUAUAUACAGGGGGUACCGGUACAGAGUCGAUGUGGAGACUAUAUACAGGGGGUACCGGUACAGAGUCGAUGUGGAGGCUAUAUACAGGGGUACCGGUACAGAGUCGAUGUGGAGGCUAUAUACAGGGGGUACCGGUACAGAGUCGAUGUGGAGGCUAUAUACAGGGGGUACCGGUACAGAGUCGAUGUGGAGACUAUAUACA
ensembl:lncRNA